UGGACAAUGGGCGAAAGCCUGAUCCAGCCAUGCCGCGUGAGUGAAGAAGGCCUUCGGGUUGUAAAGCUCUUUUAGUCGGAAGAAAGAGUUGCAAUGAUAAUUGUGAUUUAUGACGGUACCGACAGAAAAAGCACCGGCUAACUACGUGCCAGCAGCCGCGGUAAUACGUAGGGUGCGAGCGUUUAUUGGAAUUACUGGGCGUAAAGGGUGCGCAGGCGGUCUUGCAAGUCAGAUGUGAAAGCCCCGGGCUUAACCUGGGAAUUGCGUUUGAAACUACAAGGCUAGAGUGCAGCAGAGGGGAGUGGAAUUCCAUGUGUAGCAGUGAAAUGCGUAGAGAUGUGGAAGAACACCGAUGGCGAAGGCAGCUCCCUGGGUUGACACUGACGCUCAUGCACGAAAGCGUGGGGAGCAAACAGGAUUAGAUACCCUGGUAGUCCACGCCCUAAACGAUGUCAACUAGUUGUCGGAUCUAAUUAAGGAUUUGGUAACGUAGCUA
rnacentral:rRNA from 1 species